rnacentral:rRNA from 1 species
ACGAACGCUGGCGGCGUGCCUCAUCCCUGCCAGUAGAACGCUGAAGGAGGAGCUUGCUCUUCUGGAUGAGUUGCGAACGGGUGAGUAACGCGUAGGUAACCUGCCUGGUAGCGGGGGAUAACUAUUGGAAACGAUAGCUAAUACCGCAUAAGAGUAGAUGUUGCAUGACAUUUACUUAAAAGGUGCAAUUGCAUCACUACCAGAUGGACCUGCGUUGUAUUAGCUAGUUGGUGGGGUAACGGCUUACCAAGGCGACGAUACAUAGCCGACCUGAGAGGGUGAUCGGCCACACUGGGACUGAGACACGGCCCAGACUCCUACGGGAGGCAGCAGUAGGGAAUCUUCGGCAAUGGACGGAAGUCUGACCGAGCAACGCCGCGUGAGUGAAGAAGGUUUUCGGAUCGUAAAGCUCUGUUGUAAGAGAAGAACGAGUGUGAGAGUGGAAAGUUCACACUGUGACGGUAUCUUACCAGAAAGGGACGGCUAACUACGUG